UAUGUCUGUAGGGUCCUGUGAAUUUCUUGCUCUCUCAUGCUCGUAAAUCAAAAUCAGAGGAGGGAGUUGGAGAACGUGACUGCAGGGGCCCGUGAGCGUCGUCCCCAGACUCGCGGCGUGAUGCGUAUCUUUACAGGAUUAGCGACUGUGGGAGGUCAUGGUUGGCGGGAGACCAGAUGUGGAUCCGUUGUUGCAGUUCUUUUUAAAGCAAGUGUCAGAUAAGUGAGUGAACCAAGUUCCCAUUGACAUGCAUUAUACGACUGACAGACCGCAACGGUUGGAGUUAAAAAUCAUUUGUGUUCUACUGAAGAAACAAAGUCACCUACAUCUUGGAUGCCCUGGGGGAAGACGUGUAGUUCACCCGAGAGGAGGAUCUGUAUUUGACAGAAGGAGACGAUGUUGAGGUCAGCGUGAGACGCUGCAGCUCUGAGGGAGGUUUCAUCCAUCGCUCAUAUUUAUGAGCAUGUUCUUCAUCCUGAUGAAGUGCACCAGGACGAGGAAUGUGUUUAAAUCUCACAAAGCAAACACACACACACACACACACAUACACACACACACACACGAGGGUUAAUGGCUCACAGACCUACUGCACCUCAAAUCACAGGUUUGGAAAAGUCAUAUUCCUGCUUCUGUCAGUUCUUGAAUUUGAGGAAGCAGAUUUGUAGUUUGAAGUCAUAUAACUUCUGUAAGUGUACUUUUCAAUAAUACAUUUAAUUUCUUUGUGUGAAUUACUCAAACAUACACAGUAUAUCUUACUUUUUUUCACUUUUGAAGGGUGCGAAUCAUUUUGGAGCUGACAUUUAUCAUCUCAGUUACAAUAUAUACUGUACUGUAGCAAAUCUCAGCUGUGUGAUUGUUUAUAUAAUCGCAAAGUGUGUAACUGAGUUAUAUAUUAUGUCCAACUUUAUCUGCAUGCAUACAGUAAAAGCAAUAUUAGACUA